rnacentral:rRNA from 1 species
UACGGAGGGGGCAAGCGUUAUUCGGAAUCAUUGGGCGUAAAGGGCGCGUAGGCGGCUUGGCAAGUCAAAGGUGAAAUCCCUCGGCCUAACCGAGGAACUGCCUUUGAAACUGCUUGGCUUGAGGCCGGGAGAGGGUAGCGGAAUUCCCAGUGUAGCGGUGAAAUGCGUAGAUAUUGGGAAGAACACCGGUGGCGAAGGCGGCGACCUGGUCCAUUACUGACGCUGAGGCGCGACAGCGUGGGGAGCAAACAGG